CAGUAUUUCAAUGUUGUUUUGUGGACCUCCAUUGGUCUCAUCGUCCUUGUCAUGUAUGCUAUUUGGCUUACUAUCGAUAUGCCGCUCAUGGCAGAUACGCUGCUCUUUGGAGAAUCGGUUAAAGUAAUGAGUGACUAGUGAAAUAAUUUUAUUUUUUGUAAAAAAAAAAAAAAAAAAAAAAAAAAAAAAAAA
rnacentral:ribozyme from 1 species